rnacentral:rRNA from 1 species
CCUACGGGGGGCUGCAGUGGGGAAUAUUGGACAAUGGGGGGAACCCUGAUCCAGCCAUGCCGCGUGUGUGAAGAAGGCCCUCGGGUUGUAAAGCACUUUCAGUGAGGAAGAACGCCUGGUGGUUAAUACCCAUCAGGAAAGACAUCACUCACAGAAGAAGCACCGGCUAACUCCGUGCCAGCAGCCGCGGGAAUACGGAGGGUGCGAGCGUUAAUCGGAAUUACUGGGCGUAAAGCGCGCGUAGGUGGCUUGAUAAGCCGGUUGUGAAAGCCCCGGGCUCAACCUGGGAACGGCAUCCGGAACUGUCAAGCUAGAGUGCAGGAGAGGAAGGUAGAAUUCCCGGUGUAGCGGUGAAAUGCGUAGAGAUCGGGAGGAAUACCAGUGGCGAAGGCGGCCUUCUGGACUGACACUGACACUGAGGUGCGAAAGCGUGGGUAGCAAACAGGAUUAGAUACCCUGGUAGUC